GACGAACGCUGGCGGCGUGCCUAAUACAUGCAAGUAGAACGCUGAAGACUGGUGCUUGCACUAGUCAGAUGAGUUGCGAACGGGUGAGUAACGCGUAGGUAACCUACCCCAUAGCGGGGGAUAACUAUUGGAAACGAUAGCUAAUACCGCAUGACAAUUAAGUACUCAUGUACUAAAUUUAAAAGGAGCAAUUGCUUCACUAUGAGAUGGACCUGCGUUGUAUUAGCUAGUUGGUGAGGUAACGGCUCACCAAGGCCACGAUACAUAGCCGACCUGAGAGGGUGAUCGGCCACACUGGGACUGAGACACGGCCCAGACUCCUACGGGAGGCAGCAGUAGGGAAUCUUCGGCAAUGGGGGCAACCCUGACCGAGCAACGCCGCGUGAGUGAAGAAGGUUUUCGGAUCGUAAAGCUCUGUUGUUAGAGAAGAACGGUAAUGGGAGUGGAAAAUCCAGUACGUGACGGUAACUAACCAGAAAGGGACGGCUAACUACGUGCCAGCAGCCGCGGUAAUACGUAGGUCUCGAGCGUUGUCCGGAUUUAUUGGGCGUAAAGCGAGCGCAGGCGGUUAUUUAAGUCUGAAGUUAAAGGCCGUGGCUCAACCAUGGUUCGCUUUGGAAACUGGAUAACUUGAGUGCAGAAGGGGAGAGUGGAAUUCCAUGUGUAGCGGUGAAAUGCGUAGAUAUAUGGAGGAACACCGGUGGCGAAAGCGGCUCUCUGGUCUGUAACUGACGCUGAGGCUCGAAAGCGUGGGGAGCAAACA
rnacentral:rRNA from 1 species